UGGUGUGUAACUCAUGUGGGAGAGUAAUAGGCUUUUAACCUAGAGGAGGUUGGUUCGACUCCAAUCACAUCAA
rnacentral:tRNA from 1 species